CCACUCCUCACUUGAUGGCUUCUCGCUUGCUCACUGACAGGGACACAAAACAGAGCCGUAACCCAGCUCUAAGCCCCCUCCUCUUCUUCUCUUAAAGGGCCACCCGCGCUUCAGUCCAUCCGUCACAAAGUCUUCGCGGCCGCCAGGAGUCAGAGAACAACUUUUACCGGGGUUGUGCAUGCAGGCUGUAGUCACCCAGUUGGCCAGAAGGGGUCACUGGUGAGCACCGAGACGCUCCUAGAACGGGGGCUCACAGCUGGGUCCAGCAGCCUGGCUCAAACCUGAAAGGGCAGAGAGGAGGAGAGAAGAGGAGAGAAGAGGAGAGAAGAGGAGAUGAGAGGAGAGAAGAGAAGAGAAGAGAAGAGAAGAGAAGAG